rnacentral:lncRNA from 13 species
GUUACAUUAUCAAUAAAAGCCUAUUCCAAUGAAUUAAACAAUCUCCAUGAUAGGUUUUGGUGAAAACGUUAAAUUGUAGGAGCAGGAAUAGUGAAACCAAAGAUACUUCCCCUUUCAUCUGUGGUGACUUUAUCCUAAUACUCCCGGCCAAUUCAAUUCCAUCAUUAGUUUGGUUUAAUCCACUCUUUCAUAAUAUUGACUUUGUGGAGUGUGGUGGAUAGGCAACAUCCUCUCUCUCUCACACACACACACAACUUUCAGCUGUCAAAAGCCGACUCAAUUUAAAACACAAAAAAAAUGCUAAAUGUUGUUUAGGCUACUCACUAACCUCAAUCAGCUCUCUUGAAUCUGUUUUUAGGCUAAAACAAACCAACUAUUUGCUUUGGAUUAUGCUAAAACGUGCACGCAAACUGUAUGCAAAUUCAGCUAUAUACACAAUGCCACAGUUGUCUCAAACGUUUAUUGAUAUAUGCAUGCAUCAACUUACACUGUGAUGAUGCUGAAGAUUCGAUGUUCCCUUGAUAUGAAAUCACAACAUGAAGACUGAAGUUCUGGCUAGACAGCUAACACUAGCUAAUAACAGCAACUUGUUUCCUAGAUAUCUGUAACUACAAAUUCAGCAAGCUAUGGACUGCUUGUGAAGCAGACAUAUUUCCAGGCUGUAAGGAUUUCCCGACGUGUUUCAUAUAAACAAAAAUGAAAUAAAUCUUCACAAACGAACAUCCAAGACCGCUUAGCCAGCUUUCUAGAAAGAAACCGCUAGCUGUAUGUGUUUUGGGGCGGAAAGGAGAUUUCAGUGCCGUCUCUAGGCAACCACAAGCUUCACCCUCAACUUUUCAGCUGAGCACAGCCGCUUAGCUUGUAAGCAACGACGCUAGCUAUCUGGUUCCGUGUACCAAGAGAAAGUCAUCUACACAUGGGUAUUUUGGCCUUUUACCCGUAAUUUGGCUUGUUUGUUACAACAAUUUUGGAACAUUUUUAAAAUAAUAGCUUUAUUUUCAGCUAAACUGGCCACGUGAAAUCUAGAUGUUUGUUCUCGCGACACUCAGGAAGGAACGCGGGUCGCCUUCUUCUUCUUCUUCUUCUUCUUCUUCUUCUUCUUCUAUGAAGUUUAACGGCAGUUGGCAUCCAAUUUGUUGCAUUACCGCCACCUACUAGACUGGACUUUACUUGAAAAAUAAAAAUGCACUAAAUAAAUACCCUAUCAUCUAACACUACACUCACUAAUUUUAAAAUUAUAUAAAAUAAAUGAACACCACCCUACUCCACUAAUUACAUGUAUGUAUUCCUACCU